rnacentral:misc_RNA from 1 species
AAGUUUUCGUAGGUGAACCUGCGGAAGGAUCAUUACACGUAUCCAACGUUAAACAACCCUGUUUUCAGCGCUCUUGUAUUAAACCAGGCGGAACAGCAAUCCGGUAAAUAUCAAUUGGCGGAAAAGUUUUGAUUCGGGACCUCUGUGUGACAUGGUUUCCCCAGCAGUGCAGAAGGUUCCACUGAGUAGGAUAACGCAUCAACGGUUGCUAGAGGUCGAUCACCGGCCGGCAGACCUGUCACAGGGCUAUACGCCCUUCAUUCACCCCUUGCCCUCUCCUUGCCGCCGCACAAAAACUGAACAACUGGUAACAAUGGAUAUCUUGGUCUC